GACGAACGCUGGCGGCGUGCUUAACACAUGCAAGUCGAACGGAAAGGCCCUGCUUUUGUGGGGUGCUCGAGUGGCGAACGGGUGAGUAACACGUGAGUAACCUGCCCUUGACUUUGGGAUAACUUCAGGAAACUGGGGCUAAUACCGGAUAGGAGCUCCUGCUGCAUGGUGGGGGUUGGAAAGUUUCGGCGGUUGGGGAUGGACUCGCGGCUUAUCAGCUUGUUGGUGGGGUAGUGGCUUACCAAGGCUUUGACGGGUAGCCGGCCUGAGAGGGUGACCGGCCACAUGGGGACUGAGAUACGGCCAAGACUCCUACGGGGGGCAGCAGUGGGGAAUAUGGCACAAUGGGCGGAAGCCUGAUGCAGCAACGCCGCGUGCGGAAUGACGGCCUUCGGGUGGUAAACCGCUUUCGCUUGUGACGAAGCGGGAGUGACGGUAAUGGGUAAAGAAGCACCGGCUAACUACGUG
rnacentral:rRNA from 1 species